rnacentral:other from 1 species
UGCACCCUGGAGCGCGCGUGACGGCUGUCGUCGCAGGCCUCACAAGUAUACAUGAAGGGAUUUGAAUGACGAUUCGGUGUGCAGGCCCGGAAUACGCCGGGAAGCCUUAAGAGUCGUCCGAUUAUCCCGCCGUAGGAUCAUAGGUUCUGCGGGAAGGCAUCCGCACGGCACAUCCGGGGUAACA